ensembl:snoRNA
GGCCUCCUGAUGCUUAUGACAGGCUGUACUCUUGCACUUGACUGUGUAGAAAGAGGAGGCAGAGUAAACCCAUCCCACACACACCUCAGCACCGGCCCUUGCCUGGUCUGUAUUGUGAAUGGGAGGACAUGG